rnacentral:snRNA from 1 species
UUCUCUGAUCUUAAUAAA